rnacentral:rRNA from 1 species
GACGAACGCUGGCGGCGUGCCUGAUACAUGCAAGUUGAGCGAUGAAGAUUGGUGCUUGCACCAAUUUGAAGAGCAGCGAACGGGUGAGUAACGCGUGGGGAAUCUGCCUUUGAGCGGGGGACAACAUUUGGAAACGAAUGCUAAUACCGCAUAAUAACUUUAAACAUAAGUUUUAAGUUUGAAAGAUGCAAUUGCAUCACUCAAAGAUGAUCCCGCGUUGUAUUAGCUAGUUGGUGAGGUAAAGGCUCACCAAGGCGAUGAUACAUAGCCGACCUGAGAGGGUGAUCGGCCACAUUGGGACUGAGACACGGCCCAAACUCCUACGGGAGGCAGCAGUAGGGAAUCUUCGGCAAUGGACGAAAGUCUGACCGAGCAACGCCGCGUGAGUGAAGAAGGUUUUCGGAUCGUAAAACUCUGUUGGUAGAGAAGAACGUUGGUGAGAGUGGAAAGCUCAUCAAGUGACGGUAACUACCCAGAAAGGGACGGCUAACUACGUG